CAAUCGGUACUGUCAUUGGCCCUCGGCUGCUUUUUGACCAAUCCUUUCGGCAAACAUCGGUCAUUUUCGAAAGUUUUGUUAGCACACAUCGUGCUGCCUACCAUUCAAGAUUUACUGUACGCAUACUACCAGACAAGCGUUUAUUUAACGGUCCACUACUUUUCAAAUUAAUCGUUUUGAGAUAUGACUUUCCAAUGGCAUGAGUCCACUCCUAUUGUCCACGAGCGACAAUAUGUAAUUUGAAUUAUUUUUGAAGGUUCAGACACCAAAAAGUUUACGAUUACAAUCGGUACUGUCAUAGUGCGUCAAUGGCCAUAGGCUGCCUUUUGAUCAGUCUUUUCGCCAGACUUCGGUCAUUUUCGGAAAUUUUUGUUAGCGUGCUGCCUACCAUUCAAGUUUUACGCAUACUACGCAGAGGGCAGGUUAUUGGGUACAAACCAGACAUGCGUUUGUUUAACGGUCCUACUUUUCAAAUUAAUCGUUUUGAGAUAUGACUUUCCAAUGGCAUGAGUCCACUCCUCUUUUCCACGAGUGACAAUAUGGUAAUUUGAAUUAAUUUCUGAAGUUUCAGACACAAAAAACUUUUAUGAUUGCAUGAUACGUUUACUAUUUGUAAAUUUCGGAUCCAUGAGAGACAGAAUUAAACACUAUAUCAUUUUGUAUGGUAUAUGAUUGAUUUGAUUUUCAGAAUUACAAAUAUUUCGCACUCAAAGUAUACCGUGCCUAUUAGAGACAGUUAAAGAUCUUAGCCCAUGAGCGGCACAUUAUUUGCCCAUGAGCGGCACAUGCUUAGUCCAUGAGUGGCACAUGCUUAUACAAAAUAAUUAUGGAUCUUAUACAAAGACAGUUUUGGAUUUUUAGCCCAUGAGCGGCACAUGCUUAUACAAAAUAGUAAUGGAUCUUAUACAAAGACAGUUUUGGAUUUUAGCCCAUGAGCGGCACAUGCUUAUACAAAGACAGUUAUUGAUUUUAGCCCAUGAGCAUGAUGAGCGGCACAUGCUUAUACAAAAUAGCAAUGGAUCUUAUACAAAGACAGUUAUGGAUUUUAGCCCAUGAGCGGCACAUGUUUAUACAAAAUAGUAAUGGAUCUUAUACAAAGACAGUUUUGGAUUUUUAGCCCAUGAGCGGCACAUGCUUAUACAAAGACAGUUAUUGAUUUUAGCCCAUGAGCGGCAUAUGCUUAUACAAAAUAGUAAUGGAUCAUAUACAAAGACAGUUAUGGAUUUUAGCCCAUGAGCGGCACAUGUUUAUACAAAAUAGUAAUGGAUCUUAUACAAAGACAGUUUUGGAUUUUAGCCCAUGAGCGGCACAUGCUUAUACAAAAUAGUAAUUUAUCUUAUACAAGAUAGUUAUGGAUUUUAGCCCAUGAGCGGCACAUGCUUAUACAAAAUAGUAAUGGAUCUUAUACAAAGACAGUUAUGGAUUUUAACCCAUGAGUGGCAUAUGCUUAUACAAAGAUUGACGUCAUGAAGACUUAUGUAGUUGUAUUGUUGUCGAACUGAGUUACAUAAUUUGGAUCACAAUUGCGAUAUACUAUAUGCACUAUAUGCUGAUAUCAGAGUCAAAGAUUGGACUUUGAUAUUCAGUGUUUUUUAUUCUAUGACCUACGGCAUUAUCUUUGAAAUUCGUUUGAUAAAUUAUUAAACAAUAAUUAUAGCCAAAGUAUAGCCAAAUCGGCGAAACUACAUCAUUUAUAGUUCGAGCAAUUGUCUUCCACACCUUGAUCGAUAAUUCGGCAGCAAUACAUGUUGCAAAUAUUUUCAACUCUUAAGCUGUGUAAUCCUUUGUCUUUGGUAUCAAAGAAAGCAAUGAGAGCGGUAAUACACGUCCGCCAUUUAGUCUUGUCAGAAAAUUGUUCCGAUUUGCAACUUCAUUUACUGCCAUUUCUUUUUCAGAAUAAUGUUCUUAUCUCCGGAACAUGGGCCGAAUGGGCCGAAUCAGUUCUUCAGACACAAAGAUUACAACCAACAUGUAUCUUCUUGAGUAAACGUCCUCUCCACAAGAUUCCGUUUUGAAGUCCAAGGCACCUGCUACUAUGGGCAAGUACUGGAGUGACUGGAAGCGUUGGAGGUUACUCACAAACCAACAUGAUCUACAAGCGUGAGGCCAGUACAUCUAGUCUUAUACGUUCAACACUUGGCGAAAUCCGCAGCAAGAAUUUCUCCGAUCGACACCGCCAUAGUAUACGAUGGUCACACACUCUGGCCGAUACCUCACCACCUCCUACUGAUAGCUCUAUUAUCAAAUCGGCCGUUGAUGAAUCUCGUUGAAGCCUAACUAAAUCAAAAUCAUCAAAAAGAACCAGCAACGUCUUCAGAAUUAGCUCAGCUGGUAGCAGAUAAAGGGGGCCAGGACGCAUCUGCGUCUGAUCUUCGUCUUCUAUAUCUUUCCACACUCGGAACGCACGAGCUGGCGGAGCAUCGGAAGCCGCUUCAAGCUUCGUUAAUUAGAGAUGUUUUGCACGGCAUAGGGCAUAUACGUAAAAGAUUCCAUUUCCAGCAAAUUAUCCGUUGCAAGAGCAAUGAAUCUCUGAAUUAUAACGUUUUAAUCGUAUGUUAAAAGGUCCAGCUCUUUCGUGCUGAUUCAUUGUGCUGAAAAUGGUAAUAGAUCUUUCGUCACAUUCGUCUUAUCCUGGUUUUUCAUGCGUAAAGACAAAGAGUAAAUACUUUCACGGUUGUACUUUUAAUAGUUUGGAAGUUCAAAAUGUACAACAUUGACGUACAAAUAUGUUAAUACUAUAGUUACUACUAGUUAGUAUAAUUACUAAUUUUGAUCCCAUUCGAUCUUUUACCUCGCAAUAUUUGUUUUUGAGGUGUCGGUGACCGCACUCUCCCAAGAGUAAAACAAUAAUUAAACAAAUUGAUUACAAAUAUAACAAACAAUUUUGUUUGCUUUUGUUUGUGUGAAGAAAGGAGACUGAAAUGAGAUACCCCUUCUCCACCAUCGCACGAAG